GACGAACGCUGGCGGCGUGCUUAACACAUGCAAGUCGAACGGAAAGGCCCCUUUGGGGGUACUCGAGUGGCGCACGGGUGAGUAACACGUGAGUAACCUGCCCUUGACUUCGGGAUAACUUCAGGAAACUGGGGCUAAUACCGGAUAGGAAUCCUUGCUGCAUGGUGGGGGUUGGAAAGCUUCGGUGGUUUUGGAUGGACUCGCGGCUUAUCAGCUUGUUGGUGGGGUAGUGGCUUACCAAGGCUUCGACGGGUAGCCGGCCUGAGAGGGCGACCGGCCACAUUGGGACUGAGAUACGGCCCAGACUCCUACGGGAGGCAGCAGUGGGGAAUAUUGCACAAUGGGCGGAAGCCUGAUGCAGCAACGCCGCGUGCGGGAUGACGGCCUUCGGGUUGUAAACCGCUUUCAGCAGGGGCGAAGCUUGUGGUGACGGUACCUGCAGAAGAAGCACCGGCUAACUACGUG
rnacentral:rRNA from 1 species